AGUGAACGCUGGCGGUAGGCUUAACACAUGCAAGUCGAACGGCAGCACAGUAAGAGCUUGCUCUUACGGGUGGCGAGUGGCGGACGGGUGAGGAAUACAUCGGAAUCUACUUUUUCGUGGGGGAUAACGUAGGGAAACUUACGCUAAUAUCGCAUACGCCCUACGGUUGAAAGCAGUGGAUCUUCUGACCUUGCGCGAUUGAAUGAGCCGAUGUCGGAUUAGCUAGUUGGCGGGGUAAAUGCCCACUAAGGCGACGAUCCGUAGCUGGUCUGAGAGGAUGAUCAGCCGCACUGGAACGGAGACACGCUCCAGAGUCCUACGGGAGGGAGCAGUGGGGAAUAUUGGACAAUGGGCGGAAGCCUGAUCCAGCCAUACCGAGUGGGUGAAGAAGACCUUCGGGUUGUAAAGCCCUUUUGUUGGGAGAGAAAAGCAGCAGGUUGAUACCCAGCUGUUCUGACGGUACCCAGAGAAUAAGCACCGGCUAACUUCGUG
rnacentral:rRNA from 1 species